CCUCCUUCUCCAGCCUCAUUUCCGGGGCUCCCUCUUCAAUGGCGGGGGAGGAAUCGGCGAAGCUCCCAGUCAGCAGCAGACAAAAACCCUGGAAGAUUCCUCCGCCAUCUCCUCCGUGUGAUGAAGGGACAAGAACCACCAUGCAGCCAACUGAGGGUAGGGUGUCCUUUGAAGAGUUGGCUGUCUAUUUCACCCAGGAGGAGUGGACCUCUGCUGGGCACGUCAAGUGCUCCAAAGAAUUCUCUAAGCAAGGAAG